CUCAAGCAGCUCAUCCGUUGUGCUCUAUAGACUGAAGAGAAAAUUUACCAAGAUUUCCGUUUUAAGUGCAACAAGCUUCAUUUAAACUGAGCAAGAGACAAUUCAAGACUUCUUGACGACCAAUGGUGCAAGGAAUGAUGAGUGCAGUGUCAGAUGUCAACAACACAACUGUCAUAUAACAUGCGGAAGUGAUUUAUCUUAACAUCUGUUUGUGGACUUGGAGUUGGAAGUAACCAGUCUUCUCAGAUUAGUUCAGGCAUGGUCCAUGGUUCAGAAUCUGUGAUUUGUUUGCAACUUCAAAGGCUAUUCUCAUCUUGACUUGUGGCUUGCAUCUCAAAGUUAUCUCUUCAAGACAACAGAUCUGAAAAUGUGGUUGCCAUUCUUCAAGAUAUUUUGCUUCCACCAUCACUUAAGGUGAACUUCUUCCUCAUCUUUGGCCGCUUCUUCUUCUCUGUGAAAAUGUGCUUAUCCAAAGCAGUGCUCUGGACUUCAUUCAACCUUCAGUGGAUGCUGACACACCUUUUCCAACCAUCCACCAGUUGUGCCAUGAAACCGGAUCAUCCCUGUACAAAGCCUAUGGGAAUGACUGAAUUGAGAAGUCUGCAUAGAGGUGCCGUCUACUAAAACCUGGUGGUCCCUGACCAAAGCCUACAUUUAAAGUCCAGUAGCCAAGCACACACAGGUUUCCGAGAACAACUUUGUACAUAGGAUGAGUGUUUCAUGGAUAGUAUUCCAGUCUACGCUCAGCAUGGCUUUCUUGACUCCAGACACCCUCCUGCCAGACAUUGCUGUGGAUACCAUCUAUUCUCUUCAUGUCUUAACCAAGAAAGACUAUUACAGUCUCUAGAAUCCUGCAGAAACCAUCAGGUGAAGUUCACCAGAGGAUCAAGAAAUUGAUGGCAUCUCUCCACUGUAAUUGCUUGAUAUCAACAUCCAUGUCGCAGUCACUCUAGGAGCACCCAAGCAUGCCUACUUGAGUUUCCAACUGUCUUAAUUGUUUCAAGGGCAAUUAGCAAGGGAUGACCUUUACAGGAGAUCUGUGCUUCCCACUCUUCCUUAUCACAACACUGGGAAAAUUGAGCAGUCACCAUGGCAACUCUUCCAUUAUUCGGACCUGUUCCAAACAGAACUGCAGCAAUUGCUGAAGACCCUCUGGUGGAACUAUCUGUGGCUGGACUCUAUUGACUAGUUGACUGGAGGAACUGGCUAGGCGCAUCAUUUCAUCUUCUUUGUUUGGUGUGAGAUAGCCGUUUUUCAGCCAAACAAGCAAGAAACACUGGCGAUUUAAAUUGUACUGUCCUACCGGUGUGAACUUCAGAAGGUUCAGAAGAUACGUAUGAGGCACAGUGCAACAGUCUUUUGAGGUACCAUUGUAAUGUACAUGAAGCAUAAGAUAUAAAUCCUCUGUAAGAGGAAUCAAUCCAUUAGAUUUAAUAUUGAUAUCAAAGGAAGCCAAAAGGGACCAAAACGAAAUGGGUGAAAUAAUUUUAUGAGAAUAAAACGACUUGAACAAUUUAAAACAAGUUUCAUCUUUAACAGGUGAUGAAAUAAAGAGUUACGGACAUGGAAAGUCUUGGGUCACUUUCUCUGAGGAUACUCAAUUUGACAAACGAGUUUAAACUACUGGUAUUUGAUUUGGUGGAUAAUUCUCUGUUUGUUCUGUACAGAGUUUUUUAGAUUCUCACUUUAUAUAUUUUCUUAUCUCUUUUUUAACUUGAUGGUUAAGGGGAAUUAUAUUUUUCCAUGGCAUAUGUUAUACCUUGAUGGAUGCAAGGUGUGAUUGUGAUAGACCAUGGAGAAAAUCUUUAAAAUGACAAGUAAAAAGAGUUUGAAAUAAGAAUUGUUAGAUUUUUAUAGGGGUGUGUCUAUAUUUUUAGAAAUUUAAUUCUAUAUUUCUUUUUUGAAGAAACCAUCUUUUUUCAUGAAUAAAAUGUGUAUAAAUUUUUUUUCUUUCAUUCCAGGGGCCUGUAACACAAAGCGUAGCAAUGAUCGUACGACAUUUUUCUAAGAAUGAUUCCAUUGACUACAAUAUGUAAGUUGGAAAUCAAGCAUACGAUUAAUCGCCAACCUUUGUGUUACCGGACCCUGGUACUAUUUUCUUUUUCUCUAUUUUUUACAUAACCUAAUGAUGUUAGAGCAAUUAUGAGCUGGCCUUUUACUUUUUCUUCUUAAAUAUUAAGUUAACAUUGUCACAGGAUAGAUUUGAGCAAACCUUGUGGCGAGGAUCUUUUGACUGCAGUGUAUGGUCCACAUACCCACAGAAUCUUGUGAACUUGUUAACAGAAUACUAAUCACACAAAUAAUUAGGUUUAAGAAAAACUUCAUUUUUCUUCUCUGAUUCUUGUUUUUUUUUCUUGAGUGCCCUGACGAUAAAUAUCUGUCUGACAUCUGCUCCUGUCUCUGGAUAGACCAAUUAUUCCGCUCUGUCUCUUUAACUCCGGUUACAGUUCUAUUGACCCUUAUUCCAUCAACCUACUUCCCCUACGUAAGUCCUCGCCCCCUAUUCCCCAGACUCCCAUGAACACAUUUCUGAGAUCCACAUGAUAAAGUUGAAAUGCUGCCCCAAACAAGGGUAAUUUGUGUUCAAAUUUGCUUAAACGACCAAAACUGGUCAUGGUUGAUCAUUAAUUUAUCACAACACCCUUAACUUUGCAAGUUCCAAAGGAUUUGCCUCUCAAAAACUGACAGAAAUUGGAAGGCUAAUUCCAACCCAGCCAAAUUUUCACACCCUUUGUUUCAGUUGGCAGUGCUUGCUCAAGCAUGAUAGUUUUUGUCUCACCUGCAUAGCAGAGUGAGACUAUAGGCGCCGCUAUUUUCCGACGGCGGCACCGUCAAC
rnacentral:lncRNA from 1 species